rnacentral:rRNA from 1 species
UACGAAGGGUCCAAGCGUUAUCCGGAUUUAUUGGGUUAAAGGGUGCGUAGGCGGCUUAUUAAGUCAGUGGUGAAAGCCUGCAGCUUAACUGCAGAACUGCCAUUGAUACUGAUGAGCUUGAAUAUACUUGAGGUGGGCGGAAUGUGUCAGUGUAGCGGUUGAAAUGCUUAGAUAAUGACACAGAACACCGAUUGCGGAAAGGCAGCUCGCUAAAGUAAUGGAUUGAC